GCAUCAAGGAGGAUGAUCCUUACCUGUUCCUCCUUCUGGAGGCAGGUUGGAGCAAGACAAGUGGGGUUUGCAUGACUCGCAAUUAGCAUCUCUGUGUAAUCUGGAGUGGCUACACCCAAUGCACUCUUAGAA